GACGAACGCUGGCGGCGUGCCUAAUACAUGCAAGUAGAACGCUGAAGGAGGAGCUUGCUCUUCUGGAUGAGUUGCGAACGGGUGAGUAACGCGUAGGUAACCUGCCUGGUAGCGGGGGAUAACUAUUGGAAACGAUAGCUAAUACCGCAUAAGAGUAGAUGUUGCAUGACAUUUACUUAAAAGGUGCAAUUGCAUCACUACCAGAUGGACCUGCGUUGUAUUAGCUAGUUGGUGGGGUAACGGCUUACCAAGGCGACGAUACAUAGCCGACCGGAGAGGGGGAUCGGCCCCACUGGGACUGAGACACGGCCCAGACUCCUACGGGAGGCAGCAGUAGGGAAUCUUCGGCAAUGGACGGAAGACUGACCGAGCAACGCCGCGUGAGUGAAGAAGGUUUUCGGAUCGGAAAGCUCUGUUGUAAGAGAAGAACGAGUGUGAGAGUGGAAAGUUCACACUGUGACGGUAUCUGACCAGAAAGGGACGGCUAACUACGUG
rnacentral:rRNA from 1 species